GAUGAACGCUGGCGGCGCGCCUAACACAUGCAAGUCGAACGGUUAAAGCACCUUUUAGGUGUGUAUAAAGUGGCGAACGGCUGAGUAACACGUGGGCAACCUGCCCUCCUCUUGGGGAUAGCCUCGGGAAACCGAGGAUAAUACCCGAUACUUCAAUGUGGCCGCAUGACGACAUUGAGAAAGCUUUUGCGGAGAAGGAUGGGCCCGCGGCCUGUUAGCUUGUUGGUGGGGUAGAGGCCUACCAAGGCAAUGAUGGGUAGCUGGGUUGAGAGACCGACCAGCCAGAUUGGGACUGAGACACGGCCCAGACUCCUACGGGAGGCAGCAGUGGGGAAUCUUGCACAAUGGGCGAAAGCCUGAUGCAGCGACGCCGCGUGCGGGACGAAGGCCUUUCGGGUUGUAAACCGCUUUCAGCAGGGACGAGGCGAAAGUGACGGUACCUGCAGAAGAAGCCCCGGCUAACUAAC
rnacentral:rRNA from 2 species